rnacentral:sRNA from 1 species
UGACUCGAAAGAGUCACCUAGCCAACUGACGUUGUUAGUGAACUUAGUUUUCACAAAAUGAAGCCAGCAGGAUUUAUUCCUACUGGCUAUUUUUUU